rnacentral:rRNA from 1 species
GAUGAACGCUGGCGGCGUGCCUAAUACAUGCAAGUCGAGCGAACGGACGAGAAGCUUGCCUCUCUGAUGUUAGCGGCGGACGGGUGAGUAACACGUGGAUAACCUACCUAUAAGACUGGGAUAACUUCGGGAAACCGGAGCUAAUACCGGAUGAUAUUUUGAACCGCAUGGUUCAAAAGUGAAAGACGGUCUUGCUGUCACUUAUAGAUGGAUCCGCGCUGCAUUAGCUAGUUGGUAAGGUAACGGCUUACCAAGGCAACGAUGCAUAGCCGACCUGAGAGGGUGAUCGGCCACACUGGAACUGAGACACGGUCCAGACUCCUACGGGAGGCAGCAGUAGGGAAUCUUCCGCAAUGGGCGAAAGCCUGACGGAGCAACGCCGCGUGAGUGAUGAAGGUCUUCGGAUCGUAAAACUCUGUUAUUAGGGAGGAACAUAUGUGUAAGUAACUGUGCACAUCUUGACGGUACCUAAUCAGAAAGCCACGGCUAACUACGUG